AGUUGGAAUUGCUAGUAAUCGUGGAUCAGCAUGCCACGGUGAAUACGUUCCCGGGUCUUGUACACACCGCCCGUCACACCAUGGGAGUCGGUAACACCCGAAGUCAGUAGUCUAACCGCAAGGAGGACGCUGCCGAAGGUGGGAUUGACGACUGGGGUGAAGUCGUAACAAGGUACC
rnacentral:rRNA from 1 species